GCUUGUCUCAAAGAUUAAGCCAUGCAUGUCUCAGUAUAAGCUUCUAUACGGUGAAACUGCGAAUGGCUCAUUAAAACAGUUACAGUUCAUUUGAUGGUUACUCCUUACAUGGAUAACUGUGGUAAUUCUAGAGCUAAUACAUGCGCCCAAACCUGACUCCGUGGAAGGGUUGUGUUUAUUAGUUACAGAACCAACCCAGGCUCUGCCUGGUCUUGUGGUGAUUCAUAAUAACUGUUCGAAGCGCACGGCCUCGCGCCGGCGCUAGUUCAUUCAAAUUUCUGCCCUAUCAGCUUUCGACGGUAGUGUAGUGGACUACCGUGGCGCUAACGGGUGACGGAGAAUUAGGGUUCGGUUCCGGAGAGGGAGCCUGAGAAACGGCUACCACAUCCAAGGAAGGCAGCAGG
rnacentral:rRNA from 1 species